GAUGAACGCUGGCGGCGUGCCUAAUACAUGCACUUCGAGCGAACAGACGAAUAGCUUGCUCCUCUUACGUUAGCGGCGGAUGGGUUAGUAACACUUGGAUAACCUACCUAUAAGACUUGGUUCACUUCUGGAAACCGGAGCUAAUACCGCAUAAUAUCUUGAACCGCCUGGUUCCAUAGUGAAACACGGGUUUGCUUUCACUUAUAGAUGGAUCCGCGCCGCAUUAGCUAGUUGGUAAGGUAACGGCUUACCAAGGCAACGAUGCGUAGCCGGCCUGUGAGGGUGAAGGGACAAACUGGAAGUGAGUAACGGGGUAGACACAAAGGGGAGGCAGAAGUAGGGAAUUUUCCGCAAUGGAAAGAAGCAUGAUGGAGCAACGGCGCGAGAGUGACGAAGGUCUCCGGAUCGUACAACUCUGUUAUUAGGGAAGAAAAAAGGGGUAAGGAAGGAGGCACGUUGUGACGGUACCUUAUCAGACAGCCACAAUAAACGGUGUA
rnacentral:rRNA from 1 species